AGUCGAGCGAGAAAAGGGGAGCAAUCCCCUGAGUAAAGCGGCGCACGGGUGAGUAACACGUGGGUAAUCUGCCCUGGAGUGGGGAAUAACACCGGGAAACCGGUGCUAAUACCGCAUACGAUAACGAUGUCUGCGGACGUUGUUAUGAAAGGAGCAAUUCGCUCCAGGAGGAGCCCGCGGCUGAUUAGCUAGUUGGUGAGGUAAUGGCUCACCAAGGCAACGAUCAGUAGCCGGUCUGAGAGGACGGUCGGCCACACUGGAACUGAGACACGGUCCAGACUCCUACGGGAGGCAGCAGUGGGGAAUUUUUGGCAAUGGGGGAAACCCUGACCAAGCAACGCUGCGUGGAUGAUGAAGUAUCUCGGUACGUAAAAUCCUUUCGACAGGGAAGAAACCCGCAAGGGUUGACGGUACCUGUAGAAGAAGCCCCGGCUAACUCCGUGCCAGCAGCCGCGGUAAUACGGGGGGGGCAAGCGUUGUUCGGAAUUACUGGGCGUAAAGGGCGCGUAGGCGGUUUGCUAAGUUGGACGUGAAAACUCUGGGCUUAACCCAGAGCCUGCAUCCAAAACUGGCAAGCUAGAGUAUUGGAGGGGGAAGCGGAAUUCCUGGUGUAGCAGUGAAAUGCGUAGAUAUCAGGAGGAACACCGGUGGCGAAGGCGGCUUCCUGGACAAUAACUGACGCUGAGGCGCGAAAGCUAGGGGAGCAAACAGGAUUAGAUACCCUGGUAGUCCUAGCCCUAAACGAUGGAUACUUGCUGUGAGGGGGAUUGAAUCCCUUCGUGGCGAAGCUAACGCAUUAAGUAUC
rnacentral:rRNA from 1 species